UAAAGUUAGGUCUGUGGAUGAAAGUCGAUGCCAGUCGCAGGCGAAACGAUCCACGUAAGUUAGGCAAAAGUUCUAAUGAGCAUGGUGCGGUGUAGAAGUAAGUCCUACCAAGUAAAUUGAGAGGGUUAGUAGUGAGGAGUUAAGUCUUAGUAGCAAAAGCUCCAGUAGGCGAGUGUGGGGUCAAAGUCCAGGUCAGAUAACUUUG
rnacentral:ncRNA from 1 species